CCCCGGUGGAUUCCCGAGUUCCCCGGUGGAUUUUGGAGUUCCCCGGUGGAUUUCGGGGUUCCCCGGUGGAUUUCGGGGUUCCCCGGUGGAUUUGGGGGUUCCCCGGUUGAUUCCCGAGUUCCCCAGUGGAUUUGGGGUUUCCCGGUGGAUUUUGGGGGUUCCCCGGUGGAUUUUGGGGUUCCCCAGUGGAUUUGGGGGUUCCCCGGUGGAUUUGGGGGUUCCCCGGUUGAUUCCCGAGUUCCCCAGUGGAUUUCGGGGUUCCCCGGUGGAUUUUGGGGGUUCCCCGGUUGAUUCCCGAGUUCCCCGGUGGAUUUUGGGGGUUCCCCGGUAGAUUUUGGGGUUCCGCGGUGGAUCUGGGGGUUCCCCGGUGGAUUUGGGAGUUCCCCGGUGGAUUUUGGGGGUUCCCCGGUUGAUUCCCGAGUUCCCCGGUGGAUUUUGGGGGUUCCCCGGUGGAUUUGGGGAUUCCCUGGUGUAUUUUGGGGGUUCCCCGGUGUAUUUUGGGGGUUCCCUGGUGGAUUUGGGGAUUCCCCGGUGGAUUUUGGGGGUUCCCCGGUGGAUUUGGGGGUUCCCCGGUGGAUUCCCGAGUUCCCCGGUGGAUUUUGGGGUUCCCCGGUGGAUUUCGGUGUUCCCCGGUGGAUUUUGGGGUUCCGCGGUGGAUUUGGGGGUUCCCCGGUGGAUUUUGGGGUUCCCCGGUGGAUUUUGGGGUGUCUCUAGACGCAGCUCUCCCCUCCGCCGCGGAGGUUCCGCAGUGUCCGGGCCAGGGCUCG